CUUUAAGGGUAGGAGCUCACAUUCAGUAAUUGAAGGGCAGGCAUCUCUCAGGGCUGAAAUGCAGCCUGCUCAGGGUUAGAAAUUCUGAGAGCAGACAUUGGAGCAGAACCCUGGGAGAGUCAUGUAACGAGCUUGACGUGUGUUGUUAAUUCCCCAAGCGGCAGCGAAAGCUCCCGGGAGGAUGGAGUUUACAUGGUUUACAGCCAGACUGAACAAACAACAGUGUGAUUAAGUUACACGCAUUAGUUGGCUCCAGAACCAGAAUAGAAAUGUACAUGUUAAUCUGGGAUGGAAAGUUUUCAACAAAGUGGAGGCCGCUUGCACUGACUUGUGGGAGAGGAGAUGGGGGAGUCAGGGGCGGUACUGGCUGUGGAAUCUGAGGCGCCCAGUGUGAUAGGAAGAUGGGGCCCCUUGCUUCAAAAUUAAGAAUUUUCAAGACGGCCACAGCAGAGCAUUAAACCAAGUGCAAGGUCCUUCUGAGCAUGGGUGGGACCCGUGAGGUCGCAGAGGCUGGAAGCCCUUGAAGCCCUGGAGAAGGGAGGUUAUAAGCUCUGGGCUAAGGAGGGGUCUGUGUACCAAGUGGCGCUGCCUGGAAGGUCAGAGAUGAAAGGCUUUCAGAUUAUAUUUCUGGAGUCACUUGGGUGCCCCAAGUCACUUUUAAGCUGCGGGGAUUCAGCCGUGAGCAAGCAAGAGCUGUUGGGUGUAUGGUUACAGCUGCGGGCUCUGGCGUCGGCCUGUCAGCUUGGAGAGUUUUAAGAGCUCCACUAACCGUGUGCAUUUCCCGUCUGUAAAUGGGCUGAAUGGUAAUAACACCCACCUCUGACGUGAGGACCAUGCCCAUCACGAGUUAUCAUGUGCAAGUGUCUGGACACCUCAAGGGUUUUAAUGGAUGUCAGCAAAGACGACAGGCAGUCAGAUUCAAUCGGCGGAUGGGGACCGAGUGCCUCUCCUCACAGGCCUUCUGUAACAGGGUACAACUGAUCCUCGUUGUUCACGGAGUCUGCGUUUGCCAACGCACCUACCCACCAACACUGAUUUGUAAGCCCCCGGCUCAGGACUUCUGCGGCUUUCUCUGCUGUUCAUGGUCAGAGCAGAAAGGCAAAAUUUUGAGUCGCUCACAUUCCCAGCUGAGAUCCAACUAAGAGCCCAUGCCAGAGCGUCUUACGUCAUCCAUGUGCUUUUACACGUGUUUGUGGCCUCAUAGUGAUGCUCAGAGGAUCAGUGUUUAUA
ensembl:lncRNA